rnacentral:misc_RNA from 1 species
GAUGAAGAACGUAGCGAAAUGCGAUAAGUAGUGUGAAUUGCAGAAUUCAGUGAAUCAUCGAAUCUUUGAACGCACAUUGCGCCCCUUGGUAUCCCGAGGGGCAUGCCUGUUCGAGCGUCAUUUCACCACUCAAGCCUGGCUUGGUGUUGGGCGACGUCCCCUUUGGGGACGCGCCUUGAAACGCUCGGCGGCGUGGCACCGGCUUUAAGCGUAGCAGAAUCUUUCGCUUUGGAAGUCGGGGCCCCGUCUGCCGGAAGACCUACUCGCAAGGUUGACCUCGGAUCAGGCAGGGAUACCCGCUGAACUUAAGCAUAUCAAUAAGCGGAGGA